GUUUUGCGUUAGGGAUAGUAGUGUAAAUCCCGCAGCACGCCAAUAGCGUGUGAGGAAUUGCAACGGAUAGCCCGCUCGAAC
rnacentral:sRNA from 1 species